rnacentral:rRNA from 1 species
AACGAACGCUGGCGGCAGGCUUAACACAUGCAAGUCGAACGCAUCCUUCGGGGUGAGUGGCAGACGGGUGAGUAACGCGUGGGAACGUGCCCUUCAGUUCGGGAUAACCCAGGGAAACUUGGGCUAAUACCGGAUACGUGCGAGAGCAGAAAGAUUUAUCGCUGAAGGAUCGGCCCGCGUCUGAUUAGCUAGUUUGUGGGGUAAUGGCCCAACAAGGCGACGAUCAGUAGCUGGUCUGAGAGGAUGAUCAGCAACAUUGGGACUGAGACGCGGCCCAAACUCCUACGGGAGGCAGCAGUGGGGAAUAUUGGACAAUGGGCGCAAGCCUGAUCCAGCCAUGCCGCGUGAGUGAUGAAGGCCUUAGGGUUGUAAAGCUCUUUCGUCCGGGACGAUAAUGACGGUACCGGAAGAAGAAGCCCCGGCUAACUUCGUGCCAGCCGCCGCCGUAA